UACGUAGGGACCAAGCGUUGUUCGGAUUUACUGGGCGUAAAGGGCGCGUAGGUGGCCCGGUCAGUCCGUGGUGAAAGCGCGGGGCUCAACCCCGCGUCGGCCAUGGAUACUGCUGGGCUGGAGCACUGUAGAGGCAGGCGGAAUUCCGGGUGUAGCGGUGGAAUGCGUAGAGAUCCGGAAGAACACCGGUGGCGAAGGCGGCCUGCUGGGCAGUUGCUGACACUGAGGCGCGACAGCGUGGGAGCAACAGGG
rnacentral:rRNA from 1 species